UAGUCUGGUGCCAGCAGCCGCGGUAAUUCCAGCUCCAAUAGCGUAUAUUAAAGUUGUUGCAGUUAAAACGCUCGUAGUCGGAUUUCGGGGCAGGUUUGCCGNUCUGCCGAUGGGUAUGCACUGGUAGAACUGUCCUUCCUUCCGGAGACGGCGCCUACUCUUAACUGAGCGGGUGUCGGAGACGGAUCGUUUACUUUGAAAAAAUCAGAGUGUUUCAAGCAGGCAGCUCGCUUUUGCAUGGAUUAGCAUGGGAUAAUGAAAUAGGACUUUGGUGCUAUUUUGUUGGUUUCGAACACCGAAGUAAUGAUUAACAGGGACAGUCAGGGGCACUCGUAUUCCGCCGAGAGAGGUGAAAUUCUUAGACCAGCGGAAGACGAACCACUGCGAAAGCAUUUGCCAGGGAUGUUUUCACUGAUCAAGAACGAAAGUUAGGGGAUCGAAGACGAUCAGAUACCGUCGUAGUCUUAACCAUAAACCAUGCCGACUAGGGAUUGGAGGAUGUUCCUAUGUGACUCCUUCAGCACCUUUCGGGAAACUAAAGUCUUUGGGUUCCGGGGGGAGUAUGGUCGCAAGGCUGAAACUUAAAGGAAUUGACGGAAGGGCACCACCAGGAGUGGAGCCUGCGGCUUAAUUUGACUCAACACGGGGAAACUUACCAGGUCCAGACAUUGUGAGGAUUGACAGAUUGAGAGCUCUUUCUUGAUUCGAUGGGUGGUGGUGCAUGGCCGUUCUU
rnacentral:rRNA from 1 species